rnacentral:lncRNA from 1 species
AAAUUUUGGAACUUUGUCUUUUUUCUUGUUAAUUUCUGCUGAUAACUCCUAUUCUAGUUGGAUUCCUAGAUCUAGUAUCUGUUUUCUUCCAUGUUUCAGUAUACAGCAAUGGGGCAAUAGAGAAUGGAUUUAUCCAGCUAUUCUGGUCAUCACAAAUAGUCCUGCCUUUGCUGAAUGGUGGGGCUGUGCUGAGUGAUGGCUUCGUUGUGGCUCUCUAAAAUCAUGGACUACUACCUGUAACAGAAUCUUUGACAAAGAUGACUAAACAUGCAUAGCAUACAUUUCCUCUGGCCUUCUGCAACAUCACAGUGGUGGAGUGGAUUUGAAAUGAUCUAUAGUUACACAUCUCUGUGUGACAGAAUAUGUCUAUUUUUCUUAUGGCCACAUUGCUGAGAACUGAGAGCACCAAAGGUCCUCCUGUUCAUGCAGUUCAUAGCUGCAUGUACCUACUCCUUCAGUGCAGGUCCAUGUAUACCCACCUCAGUGCUCUUCAACAAUUCUUCUCAGAAGUCCAUAUUCCAGCACUCCUCACAGGAUAGCUAGGAGAAAGAAAGGAAGGAAGAGUACAGGACAAGUAGCAUUCAUUAUGUGCUGUCAUUUUUAAUAAACAGUUACCUGACUCUUUUUUAACCUUUUGC